GUGGAUUAGAUACCCUGGUAGUCCACGCCCUAAACUAUGUCAACUGGUUGUCGGGGGAGCAAUCCCUUGGUAACGAAGCUAACGCGUGAAGUUGACCGCCUGGGGAGUACGGCCGCAAGGUUAAAACUCAAAGGAAUUGACGGGGACCCGCACAAGCGGUGGAUUAUGUGGAUUAAUUCGAUGCAACGCGAAAAACCUUACCUACCCUUGACAUGUACGGAACCUCGCAGAGAUGUGAGGGUGCUCGAAAGAGAACCGUAACACAGGUGCUGCACGGUCGUCGUCAGCU
rnacentral:rRNA from 1 species